GACGAACGCUGGCGGCGUGCUUAACACAUGCAAGUCGUACGGUAAGGCCCUUUCGGGGGUCCACGAGUGGCGAACGGGUGCGUAACACGUGAGUAACCUGCCCACAACUUUGGGAUAACGCUAGGAAACUGGUGCUAAUACUGGAUAUGUGCUCCUGCUGCAUGGUGGGGGUUGGAAAGCUCCGGCGGUUGUGGAUGGACUCGCGGCCUAUCGGCUUGUUGGUGGGGUAGUGGCCUACCAAGGCGGCGACGGGUAGCCGGCCUGAGAGGGUGACCGGCCACAUUGGGACUGAGAUACGGCCCAGACUCCUACGGGAGGCAGCAGUGGGGAAGAUUGCACAAGGGGCGCAAGCCUGAUGCAGCAACGCCGCGUGCGGGAUGACGGCCUUCGGGUUGAAAACCGCUUUCAGCAGGGACGAAGCUUUUUGUGACGGUACCUGCAGAAGAAGCACCGGCUAACUACGUG
rnacentral:rRNA from 1 species